rnacentral:rRNA from 1 species
GACGAACGCUGGCGGCGUGCCUAAUACAUGCAAGUCGAGCGGACGAAUCGAAAGCUUGCUUUUGAUUCGUUAGCGGCGGACGGGUGAGUAACACGUGGGCAACCUGCCCUGUAGACGGGGAUAACACCGAGAAAUCGGUGCCAAUACCGGAUAACACGAAAUGUCGCAUGACGUUUCGUUGAAAGACGGCGCAAACUGUCGCUACAGGAUGGGCCCGCGGCGCAUUAGCUAGUUGGUGAGGUAACGGCUCACCAAGGCGACGAUGCGUAGCCGACCUGAGAGGGUGAUCGGCCACACUGGGACUGAGACACGGCCCAGACUCCUACGGGAGGCGGCAGUAGGGAAUCUUCCGCAAUGGACGAAAGUCUGACGGAGCAACGCCGCGUGAGCGAAGAAGGCCUUCGGGUCGUAAAGCUCUGUUGUUAGGGAAGAACAAGUAACGCAGUAACUGGCGUUACCGUGACGGUACCUAACGAGAAAGCCACGGCUAACUACGUGCCAGCCGCCGCCGUAA